rnacentral:rRNA from 1 species
ACGGGUGAGUAACACGUGGGCAACCUACCUUAUAGUUUGGGAUAACUCCGGGAAACCGGGGCUAAUACCGAAUAAUCUGUUUCACCUCAUGGUGAAAUAUUGAAAGACGGUUUCGGCUGUCGCUAUAGGAUGGGCCCGCGGCGCAUUAGCUAGUUGGUGAGGUAACGGCUCACCAAGGCGACGAUGCGUAGCCGACCUGAGAGGGUGAUCGGCCACACUGGGACUGAGACACGGCCCAGACUCCUACGGGAGGCAGCAGUAGGGAAUCUUCCACAAUGGGCGAAAGCCUGAUGGAGCAACGCCGCGUGAGUGAAGAAGGAUUUCGGUUCGUAAAACUCUGUUGUAAGGGAAGAACAAGUACAGUAGUAACUGGCUGUACCUUGACGGUACCUUAUUAGAAAGCCACGGCUAACUACGUGCCAGCAGCCGCGGUAAUACGUAGGUGGCAAGCGUUGUCCGGAAUUAUUGGGCGUAAAGCGCGCGCAGGUGGUUUCUUAAGUCUGAUGUGAAAGCCCACGGCUCAACCGUGGAGGGUCAUUGGAAACUGGGAGACUUGAGUGCAGAAGAGGAUAGUGGAAUU